CCUACGGGUGGCUGCAGUGAGGAAUAUUGGUCAAUGGGCGUAAGCCUGAACCAGCCAAGUCGCGUGAGGGAUGAAGGUUCUAUGGAUCGUAAACCUCUUUUAUAAGGGAAUAAAGUGCGGGACGUGUCCCGUUUUGUAUGUACCUUAUGAAUAAGGAUCGGCUAACUCCGUGCCAGCAGCCGCGGUAAUACGGAGGAUGCGAGCGUUAUCCGGAUUUAUUGGGUUUAAAGGGUGCGUAGGCGGAAGGUUAAGUCAGCGGUCAAAUGUCGGUGCUCAACACCGGCCUGCCGUUGAAACUGGUCUUCUUGAGUGAGCGAGAAGUAUGCGGAAUGCGUGGUGUAGCGGUGAAAUGCAUAGAUAUCACGCAGAACUCCGAUUGCGAAGGCAGCAUACCGGCGCUCAACUGACGCUGAGGCACGAAAGCGUGGGGAUCGAACAGGAUUAGAUACCCGAGUAGUC
rnacentral:rRNA from 1 species